rnacentral:rRNA from 1 species
UCAGGAAGAUGGUGAGGGUAAAGCUCACCAAACCGACGACGGUUAUCUGACGUGAGAGCGUGAUCAGACACGAGGACACUGAGAAACGGGUCCUACUCCUACGGGAGGCAGCAGUGGGGAAUAUUGGACCAUGGGGGAAACCCUGAUCCAGCGACGCCGCGUGAACGAAGAAGUCCUUCGGGAUGUAAAGUUCUUUUAAAUGGGAAGAAGACCGUGACGGUACCACUUGAAUAAGCCCCGGCUAACUACGUGCCAGCAGCCGCGGUAAGACGUAAGGGGCAAGCGUUACCCGGAUUCACUGGGCGUAAAGGGAGCUUAGGCAGUAUGGCAGGUCAUACGUUUAAGCAUUCGGGUCACUCGAAGAGAUGCGUAUGAAACCGUAUAACUUGAGGAUAUCAGAGGAAAGGGGAAUUACCAUUGUAGGGGUGAAAUCCGUAGAGAGUGGUAAGAAUGCCGGUGUCGAAGGCGCUCGUCCGGGGUAUACCUGACGCUGAGGCUCGAAAGCCAGGGGAGCGAACCGGAUUUAGAUACCCGGGUAGUCCUGGCCGUAAACGAUGUUCACUGGGUGUAGGAUGUCGACAGGCAAACUGUGCUGAAGCAAACGCGAUAAGUGAACCGCCUGGGGAGUACGUCCGCAAGGAUGAAACUCAAAGGAAUUGACGGGGGCCCGCACAAGCGGUGGAGCGUGUGGUUUAAUUCGAAGCUAAGCGAAGAACCUCACCAGGUCUUGACAUAUAGGUAGUAGGGAAGCGAAAGCGGACCGACUUUAGUUUACUAAAGAGCCUAUACAGGUGGUGCAUGGUCGUCGUCAGCUCGUGCCGUGAGGUGUUGGGUUAAGUCCCGCAACGAGCGCAACCCUUGUUUUUAGUUGCCAGCAUUAAGGUGGGCACUCUAAAGAGACUGCCGUCGAAGAGACGGAGGAAGGAGGGGACGACGUCAGAUCAUCAUGCCCCUUAUGAUCUGGGCUACACACGCGCUACAAUGGGUUAGGCAGAAGGCGAAACUGCAAAGUGGAGGGAAUCCUAAAACUAACCCCCAGUUCAGAUUGUAGGCUGAAACCCGCCUACAUGAAGUGGGAAUCGCUAGUAAUCGCAGAUCAGAACGCUGCGGUGAAUACGUUCCCGGGCCUUGUACACACCGCCCGUCACACCACCCGAGUUGGG